ensembl:lncRNA
UCGAGCUUGGCUGGAUUUACUUAGAAAACAAUCCAUAAAUGAGGAAUUUUGACACUAAAGUUAACUGCAGAAGUUGCGGAAGUAGACAAGAAUCAUCCGACAUCUUUGAACCACGUAGAAAUCGAUAUUCCGGCUGUUUUUUUUUUUUGAGGAUUCUCUUCAGCGGGACUUCGAUCUUCAUCCAUCUGCUGCUGUGUGUCGAUGUCCAUCCAUGUCCAUAUCUCCAUCUCCAUCACACUGGAAUCGGCCAUCACCUCGGACCGUCUCGUCGGACAUUCAUCAUAAGGGGACGGGAUGAUUAAUGUGAUUCCCAAUCCAGGACAGCCGACUAGAGAGCACAAUCCAUAAGGGACUGUGGAUAGAACUGAAUGGGGUCAUCCGAAGGGAAAGAAAAGUAAACAAAAC